GAUGAACGCUAGCGGCAGGCCUAAUACAUGCAAGUCGAACGAUACCAGAGAGCUUGCUUUCUGGGAAAGUGGCGCACGGGUGCGUAACGCGUAUGCAACCUACCUUAAUCAGGGGGAUAGCCUCUCGAAAGAGAGAUUAACACCGCAUAACAUCAUUUUAUGGCAUCGUAGAAUGAUCAAAUAUUUAUAGGAUUAAGAUGGGCAUGCGUGACAUUAGCUAGUUGGUGAGGUAACGGCUCACCAAGGCUACGAUGUCUAGGGGAUCUGAGAGGAUGACCCCCCACACUGGUACUGAGACACGGACCAGACGCCUACGGGAGGCAGCAGUAAGGAAUAUUGGUCAAUGGAGGCAACUCUGAACCAGCCAUGCCGCGUGCAGGAAGACGGCCCUAUGGGUUGUAAACUGCUUUUAUACGGGAAUAAACCUCUCUACGUGUAGAGAGUUGAAUGUACUGUAAGAAUAAGGAUCGGCUAACUCCGUGCCAGCAGCCGCAGUAACAC
rnacentral:rRNA from 1 species